CACGUAGGCGGGUUUUUAAGUCAUCUGUGAAAGCCCCGGGCUCAACCUGGGAAUUGCAGUUGAUACUAUUGAUCUUGAAUACCUGAGAGGAUGUCGGAAUUCCCGGUGUAGGAGUGAAAUCCGUAGAUAUCGGGAGGAACACCCGAGGCGAAGGCGGACAUCUGGCAGGCUAUUGACGCUGAAGUGCGAAAGCGUGGGGAGCAAACAGGAUUAGAUACCCUGGUAGUCC
rnacentral:rRNA from 1 species